CCUACGGGUGGCAGCAGUGGGGAAUAUUGGACAAUGGGCGAAAGCCUGAUCCAGCCAUGCCGCGUGUGUGAAGAAGGCCUUCGGGUUGUAAAGCACUUUCAGUGGGGAAGAAAGCCUUGGGGCUAAUACCCCCGAGGAAGGACAUCACCCACAGAAGAAGCACCGGCUAACUCCGUGCCAGCAGCCGCGGUAAUACGGAGGGUGCGAGCGUUAAUCGGAAUUACUGGGCGUAAAGCGCGCGUAGGCGGUCUGAUAAGCCGGUUGUGAAAGCCCCGGGCUCAACCUGGGAACGGCAUCCGGAACUGUCAGGCUAGAGUGCAGGAGAGGAAGGUAGAAUUCCCGGUGUAGCGGUGAAAUGCGUAGAGAUCGGGAGGAAUACCAGUGGCGAAGGCGGCCUUCUGGACUGACACUGACGCUGAGGUGCGAAAGCAUGGGUAGCAAACAGGAUUAGAUACCCCAGUAGUC
rnacentral:rRNA from 1 species